UCUUUUAGCGUAGACGCAGUUCGUGUUUAGAAAUCGGGCACGAACGUUCGUCCCAUGUGUGUUUCGGGGAGGUUCGUGAGCAUUCGGUUGGCAUCCAGUCGACGGUGGGUGGGCAGUUAGGAAAGUAAAUAGGCGGUAGGUUGGAGAGGGGUUAACCCGAAUUGUAGUCAUCGGUUGGUAAGGUGGGGAUAGACAGAGGGUGAAAGAGAGAGAGAGAAGGCGUUAAGAUCGUAAAGAGAAUGGUGGAGAGACAGGGAUGGAAGAGAAAGAUAGAGGAUGAUAGAGGAGGAGUGGGGAUGAAGUUUGCGUGGUGAACGGCGCGACUGCAGAAACGUGUCGCCCGAGAGCCAGUGACAGACAAGAUGGCGAUAGGGCUUAUGCGGUGAGCGAGCGAGAUAGAUAUAGAAAAGAAGAAAACGAAGAGAGGGAGAAAGACAGAGAUAGAGAGAGAGAGAGAGAGAGAGAGAGAAAGAAUAAGAGAGAAUCAAGACGUGAGUGCAGCUCAGCACGACGACACGUCGCAAAGUAGCGCGCGCGUUCUGCUUACAGUGUUAAAGGAACACGUUUUUAUCGAGUAUUAGUUAUUAAAGGUCCAAGGAUAGUUAUCGUUGGUCAGUUUGUCGCAACUUUUAGUCAAAAUCGUCCAUUGUCGUUAUUAAAAAUUGAAGGUUUGGCAUACUGGUGCAUGUUCCGUCCAGGAUCGUCCCGAUCAUGGAGCAUUUGCCGGCGUCGACCGCGAGACGUCGCGGUCAUCAGCAUCACCCGCGUCACUCGACACGGAGACGUCUCGAGGCAUCCGGCAGAGGACCCGCGCAGUGUGGCCCUGCCGGUAUAACAACAACAAACAAUAAUACUAAUAACAAUAACAACAACAACAAUAACAAUAUCCUCCUUGAGGAUCAUACAGGGUUCCCCGAGACGACAACCUCUUUGGGCUCCCAUUGGUUGCGAGAUUCUUUGUCGAAAAGAAUCGAAGCUAAUAACGAUGAUGUCAAAUCGAACAAAUCUACGAAAACUAUCAGUAAAGAUACUACGACGGCAACUAAAACUAUUUCAGAGAUUACGAUUAUUGGGACAAAUGAAAAGAAAGUUGAGAAUAAUGAGAAUUUGGACGUCCGAUCAAGGCUCGCGCAGUGUAGCCCGGACGUCCAGUUUGAAGUUCGAAAGGACAAGGAAGAUAACGUAGAUAUCGAUAAGGAUACGAACAUUGAUAAAGAUAAUGGUCAUAACAAGGAGAAAGAUAAAAAGAAGAAAGCCGAUAAUCGUCGUAGGACGAAGGAUUUAAAAGGCACUGAUCUGACGCGCAAACUUAGGCUCGUUAAUGCACCACGUGCUUGGGACACCGAACGAACCGUCGUAAUCAAGGACGAUGGGAAAGAAAGUAAUAAAAUAAUUAACGACUUGCUGUUGGACGAAGUAGAAGAAGAAAUAGACGAUGAAAUCGAUUACGAUGACAACGAAAUGAAAGAGAAAUUUUUCCUCGACAGACUCGAGUCUGAGCACGCGGUCGCGAGGGCUCGAGGUGAUGGAAAUUCCGACGACGAAUCAACUAAUGUCGAAGAGGACCCUGAAAUAGCCGAGUUGGCUAAACUCAGGUGUCCCAGCGAAAGGGCCGAAGUACAAGCUGAAAGAGAAGCAAGAAGAAGAAAAAGAUGUGCUGAUUAUCCUGGACUCGCAUUUGGCUCUUCCAUAUUCUCCAGCGACACCAUGAUGAAAUUCAGUCUAAUCAGGAACGAAUUACAGAAUAUCAUGGGCAAUCAACUGAAGCGGGCCGAAUCCGAAGUUGCUGCACUCAAUCGUCGUAUUCAACUUUUGGAAGAAGACCUCGAAAGAUCCGAGGAACGUCUUGCUACUGCCACUGCCAAAUUGGCAGAGGCAUCUCAGGCAGCAGAUGAAAGCGAACGAGCCCGCAAGAUUCUCGAGAACCGCAGCUUGGCGGAUGAAGAGCGUAUGGACGCCCUUGAGAAUCAGUUGAAGGAGGCAAGGUUCCUAGCCGAAGAAGCUGACAAGAAAUACGAUGAGGUUGCCCGUAAAUUGGCCAUGGUCGAGGCCGAUCUUGAGCGUGCCGAGGAACGCGCCGAGGCCGGAGAGUCGUCGCGAGGAAACUAGUCAUGAUGGAGCAGGACCUUGAAAGGGCCGAGGAAAAGGCAGAGUUGUCGGAAGCCAAAAUCGUCGAGCUUGAGGAAGAAUUGCGCGUGGUCGGUAAUAACCUGAAAUCCCUCGAGGUCUCGGAAGAAAAG
rnacentral:misc_RNA from 1 species